rnacentral:snRNA from 1 species
GUGCUCAUUUUGGCAGCACAUAUAUUAAAACUGGAACCAUACAGAGAAGAUUAGCAUGGCCCCUGUGCAAGGAUGACAUGCAAAUUCGCGAAGCGUUCCAUAUUUUU